AGAAGAAAAGAUACCUUUAAAAAUAUUACUGCUAAUAGAUAACACACUUGGUCAUCCAAGAGUUCUGGUGGAGAUGUACAAGGACAUGAAUGUUGUUUUCACACCUGCUAACACAACAUCCAUUCUGCAGCCCAUGGAUUGAGAAGUAAUUUUGAAUUUCAAGUCUUAUUAUUUAAGAAAUACAAUUCAUAUGGCUAUAGCUACCAUAGAUAGUGAUUCCUCUGAUAGCUCUGGAUAAAGUAAAUUGAAAUCCUUCUGGAAAGAUUUCACCAUUCUAGAUGACAUUAAGAACAUCUGUGAUUCAUGGGAGGAAGUCAAAAUAACAAAAU